rnacentral:rRNA from 1 species
GUAGGAACACCCGCUGAACUUAAGCAUAUCAAUAAGCGGAGGA